rnacentral:misc_RNA from 1 species
GCUUAACCAAAGUAGUAUUCAUCAAAAUAGAAUGCUAAAACAAAAGUAACCAAGAAACCUUAAAAACAGAUACAUGGCGAAAUGCUUAGCAAGUACACCUGUAUAUUACACAACCAAAAACAUAUAACUAGGUUCAUACUAUCAAGAACUGGAAAAAUGAAGGAAUAAACAUUAACAAAUGCCCAACAAAUGGCAAAAUUUGCACUAAUUACAUUUCAAAAAGCCAAGGCUGCAGCUACAUAUCUACAAUUUUCUUUUUAGAAACAUAAAAGGAUCUACGAAGCCAAACGAAAACCCAAAAUAGGUACCGCAUCAACUGUUCCCUUCUUUUGUAAUCGGAUCCCGAGUUUUAUCAUCAUCGGAACAUGGCCCAUCCAGAUCACUAGGUCUACCUCCCAACACACUGUCAAAAUCGUCACAACUGCCCACUACGUUUGCAUCACCAUGUCUUACAAUGCCCUCAGACAAAGAAACCAAGCUAAUAGUGGCCAUGCUAUUCGCAAUAGCUUCUACAUCGCUGGAGCCACCAUAGAGUCCACGGCUUCCAGUCACAUGUAUGCCUUUUUUCUCAUCAGCAUUGGUCAAUGCUACAGGGAAGACAUCCAUCAACUGAGGGUUACCUUGGGUUGAACUACUAAUGAGUAGUCGCAGAGUCUCUCUUGCACCCUUCUCUACCACGGAAUCAGUUUCAGGAAUCAAUGAGUUGACGAGUUUUUGGUGCAGUGGGGAAAUAGCGCUCGACAUAGUAGGACCAGCACUCACCAGGUAACCUUGACCCGAUGAGCAAACAUCAAUUACUGGGAUAUGAACAAUUGGAUCGCACAUCAAUGGGGUGAAGGUUGGGAUCUGCUUAGAACCGGGCAUUGGCAAUCGAAGCAUUGGGUCUGGCAGCAAAGGAGGAAAAUCUAUCGAGGGAACAUCAGACAGACUGAGAGGUGGUGUUGGAGUUAAAAGACUGGAGGACCUGGCAGCUGACAAUAAUGAAGAAAGUGGUGGAAGCAAGGGGGAUUCGAUUGAUGAGGUAGUGAGUUGUGGAGAAGCUGAAGGAUACUGCAUAGUUGAUGGACCUUGGGGGCACCAACAAUAGUAAGGAGAGACAAGAGGUGGACUUGAGGAAGUUACAUGGAAUACUGAACUUGGAGUUGGGGAGAUGGCCAAUUUCCCCAGGGAUUCAAUAAAACUUGAUGGCACCAUAGGGCAACUCUUAAUUGCAUGCAGUUCUUCAUUAUCAGACUGAUUAGAGCUUGAUGCAUCGUUAUCACGCGGCAAUGCAAUCAUCAGGUUGUCAACAGAUGAGAAGUGGCUAUCCCCGCGACGCUUUAACUUUUCUCUGGCAGCAGCACAUUUUAAAGAAGACAAACUUCUAGACAGGCCCUCUUUGAAAGAACUUGAUCUUGGACUGAGGCUUUCCUGAUAAGAUGAAUUUGCUUUCAUAGCCUGGCUGCCAAUGGGUCGGGAACGCCGAGACUUGGAAGAUAGGGAAGAUGUUGCAUCAGAGAGGUCAAGAUUGAUGCCUGACGAAGAGGCAGGUAUGCAUGCUACACUUUCUCGGGUGUUACUUCCUAGAAGAUAGGAGCGGAGGUGAAUUGCAAAGCAAUCAAGUCGUGAGUUGCUAAUUCCAGUUAAUACUGCAAUAGAUGGUCUCCUCUCGAGUACAUCUUUCAUCUUGGCAAUCAAUUCAAUACCCAAGAGCUUCGACUUCUCUGAGCACCAGAAGUAAUAAUCUCUACCAUCUGCUAUCUUUAUAAGGAAAGAUCGCCCAGAACUGUCUGCUAAGAUCUCCUCAACUGUGACAGCAGGACUAAGUGGUUUACUGCUUAGGGUGAAUAGUCUUUCCGUGUUACCAUUAUCUCCAAUGAAUGAGAGACGCAAAUCAGACGUCGGCAGCAUUGUAAGAUUUAAAUUUCCCCUGCAACAAUUCAGGAAAAAAGCGUAAGCAUAAAUUACUUUAGAAGCAUUGAAUAGCAAAACUGAAAAGCAUUACAAAGAAAAAAUUGAACCAAAAAGCAAGCAACAGGAAACAGAACCAAAGAUGAAGUCACAAAUAACAGUAUUUUCAAAUGCACUAUCCCUAUUGUGGCUCGAUUUAUAUUAUGGAGCCUAACAUUCCCCAGAAAAUUACCAUACAUCUUAUCAAAAACCAAGAGCAGCUGAAAUUGUCAAUAUAAUAAACAGUAAAAGACAAUGCAAAUAAAUAAAUUAGUAAAUCAAUAUAAGUGCCAACCAAGGGAACACACAAAACUUGAUGAUGGGACACAGAACCUAGAGCUAACACCUGUCCAGUGCAAAUCUUCUCAAUUACUCCAACUUUCCAAGUCUUCAACUAAAAGCAUGUCUAAUAACCAAAGUCAUAACAGUAUUAGAUAAGCAAACAAUUUUAGCCUUUUCCUAGAUAUCAUUUUUAACAUCUACAGCACACUAACUGUAUAAAGUAUGAACUAGAGUUGAGUAUUAGGCCUAAGAUCCUGACUUCACCCUAUUUCAUCUUUAAUUAUGUUUUGUAAUUUAAAAAAACAAAACUUUAGUUCUACAUAGAGGCUCUUAGGCCUAAUACAUUGGCAAAAGUGAUGGCCAGUGUCAAAUUCAGCCAUUUCUCAUGAUAUUGAUCCUUAUGAAAAGUCCCCAAACAUAUAAACAAAUUCAUAACCACAGAACAAGGUUAGAAAAGACGAAUAACAUGUAUUAAAGAAUAUAAUGGCAUGAUAUGAAAAAGUACACAACUGAAACCAUAAAGAACGUAGAAUAUAGCAAGAACUCAUCAUUUCAGAUACAAAGAAAGACCCUUUACACCCAGUUCCUACUUAAGUUUUAAAAUUAUCCUAUCAAUUCAAAAAACAACAGCAAUUUAUAUAAUCACAUAAUGUAGGAGAUGAAACUACCUUUACUUCCUCAUAAUUCAGAGAUCAUAAUAGAAUACGCCCACUUUACCUACAAGUCAAAAGAUAUUUUUACUUGGAAGCAUGAACAUUAUCACCGUUAUAAAGCUAAAACAUAGAAUCCUGCAAUCUCUACUAUUCAUGAACGACAGAAUAUAUACACUUUCCACCAGUAGUGUUCACUAGCAGAAAAAGGUCACAUCAAUUCGGUAGGAAACCCCUCUAAACAACUAAUAUGAGAGGUAACAAAACCAUUUCAGUUCAUGACCAAGGAAAAACCAGUUGACCAAUCUUUACGACGUCUCCUGGCACGAUAAUGCAACCCCAAGCUAUAAAAGAGGAUGUAGAAGCCACAAUUAUAAGAAACAAGUAUAUUGAAUCCAUCAAACAAAUUUGCAUCUUUUCAUGAAAUCCAAAAUAAGUUCAAAGAACAAGUACAAAAAAUUUUACAAAUUGAUUUCAAGUUAGAUGAUAAUAGAGAACAAUAAUAAUAGUAUUAAAAGCACAAAAUAUAUUAUGAAAAUACAGUAUCGCACAAGCAAUAAAACACAAACAGAACUGAUCUUCACAAAAAAAUCAAGGGACACCCUAUAUCUGAUACAAAUAUCUUCAAACUUACAGGUACAUUAACAUGGGUGAUAUACUGCAAAAUAUCAGAACAUCACUAACAUCAUAUAUAAUCUAAUCAGCUGCCUGCAUAGAAUAUUGGAAUCAUAACUCUUUAAAACAUUAUUUGAAUGAGAUCAUAUAAAUGAAUCAACUUAGAUUGUACAGUGAAAGAAGCAAAAGAUUGUGCGUAUGUUGCCUGACACCCUAGGAUCAGUGGCAGAUGUACCCCUCUUUUUUAGAAAAAUGUAUAUGUGUCGAAAUUGACCCUCAUAGAUUCCAUUAUUAAAUUACACACACACACACACACUCCCUCGUAUCCCUCCCUCAUAAAUUUAAUUCUUAAUAAUUUUCAAAGUAUUAGACCUUAUCAUAUACAAUUGUAAGAACAUUUUUUAAUAGUAUUUUGUUAUAUUUUUUGUAUGUUGACACCAUUAAAAAUUUUUCUGGAUCAGCCACUGCCUAGGAACAUAUAAUUAUGCCAGUCUGGUCACAUACAAAAACAAAGAACCAAAAAUGCAAUCAAACAAGUUAAAUAAUUGAGAUCAUACAAAUAAAUGUAGAGUAUAACUCUCCCCAAGGCCCCAGUCACAUCCCAAUACUUAUAACUCUUAUUCAUGCAUGUCCGAAUCCAAUAACAAAAAUACAUAAAUGCACGUAAACAAAUAAACUGGCGAGCAAACAGGCCAUGACCAUCCAAAUAAACCUCAAUUACCUUGAGGCAGUAGGACAAAGUAGGGUCCCUCGUUUGCUAAUCUUGCCAACACGAAUUGAAACCAGAGGUAUACAGAAACAUCUAGCAAGCAUGCCAACUUCUGAUGGCUCGAAGUGCUGACUCAGAUGGGCCAAAAGGCGAUCUUCGGCCAUCCCACUAGAAGCAUUCUGCUUCAACAACGGCUUUAACCUCUCAUCGGCUCUACAAGCCCCCAUGACCUGCAUAUCCAAAGCCUGUAACCACUGCAAAACCCUAUCUUCACGAUCGCUCUGUUGGAGUAGCAGAUCUCCUUCACCAUCUUCCACUAGAAUAUCCGCCAACCGCUCCGUCAACCCAAUCUCGCUCCUUCCAGGCGAAACGGCAACAGAUCCAACCGUGGAGGUCUCAACACCGCUAGAAACGGACGAUGAAUCCUGGAAAUCGUCGCCGUUGGAUCGCUCCGCUCGAUCGUCACAGAAUUCUUGCUUUCUAUAGUUCCCCAUGGCAAAAAAUCUCUCAAAAUUCAACAAAACAGAUUGAAAUUCGUUACCCUGAAACUCCAAAUUAUCGUAAAAAGAUGAAAAGUAGAAAUGUUCGAAUCUCAAUCUUUAAGAAAUGAAAAAGAAUUCUUCUGAAUCGGAGUGAAAUUUAGCAAGAAGAAAGAGAGAAUAAAGAGAAUAUAUCAAAUACAGAGAAGCAGCAGGCGGCUGUGCUUAAAAAUAG